rnacentral:misc_RNA from 1 species
AAGUCGUAACAAGGUUUCCGUAGGUGAACCUGCGGAAGGAUCAUCAAAGUGAUCGUGUGUGGGGGAGGAGAGUUUAUGCGCGCGCGCGCCUCCUCCUCCCCACGCCAAUCUUGUGUGAACCGUUAUUCUGUGGUGUGUGUAUGCGUUGGUGUGUGAUGUGAUGUGUUUACAGCACUCCCACCAGCAUCACAAACACAAUAAUCUCUCUUUAACCUUUGUCUAACAUGAUGUACCCACAAUUCAAAACAACUUUUAACAAUGGAUCUCUUGGCUCUC